GCGGGAGUAACUCAGUGGUAGAGUGCUAGCUUCCCAAGCUGGACGUCGCGGGUUCGAAUCCCGUCUCCCGCU
rnacentral:tRNA from 6 species